UUUCCUACGGGACGCAGCAGUGAGGAAUAUUGGUCAAUGGGCGAGAGCCUGAACCAGCCAAGUCGCGUGAAGGGUGACGGCCCUAUGGGUUGUAAACUUCUUUUGUCAGGGAGAAAUUGGGUCCACGCGUGGGCUUAGCGAGAGUACCUGAAGAAAAAGCAUCGGCUAACUCCGUGCCAGCAGCCGCGGUAAUACGGAGGAUGCGCGCGUUAUCCGGAUUUAUUGGGUUUAAAGGGGGCGUAGGCGGAAUAUCAAGUCAGCGGUAAAAAUUCGGGGCUCA
rnacentral:rRNA from 1 species